GGCAAGCCUCAGCAAGGCUCCGGACGAGCGCGCCGUACCCGGUCGGACACGACGGUGCCCC
rnacentral:ncRNA from 1 species